CUUGACAAAAUAUAAGAGGUCCAGCCUGCCCAGUGACCUAUGUUCAACGGCCGCGGUAUCCUAACCGUGCGAAGGUAGCGUAAUCACUUGUUCUUUAAAUGGGGACUAGUAUGAAUGGCAUCACGAGGGUUAAACUGUCUCCUUUUUCUAAUCAGUGAAACUAAUCUUCCCGUGAAGAAGCGGGGAUUAUUUUAUAAGACGAGAAGACCCUAUGGAGCUUUAAACAAAUUUACACCUGCUUUAAUAUAUUUUACCUCCUGAAUACUCACACAAAUAAUAGCAUGACUGUUAAAUAGUUUUCGAUUGGGGUGAUCAUGGAGAAAAAAAUAACCUCCACGACGAUAAGGGAAUAUCCCUGAGCCAAAAGCCACAACUUUAAGCACUAAAAAAUUAACGCACUUUGACCCAAUUACUUGAGCAACGAAC
rnacentral:rRNA from 1 species